AGAACGUCAUGCCGUUUUAGUAAAUAAUUAGAUUGUCUGGCUAACGUAGUUACACGACGUGUUCAAGGCACUAGGACUAAUAUUUAAAAAGGGUGCAAAGUGCUCUCAUUUACAAUUCACAUUCUCGAGAAGCCCUGAUCGCCACCGGUCAAUACAACAUGAUGGCUAGCGUAGGAAGAAGCCUUGUUUAUGUAGUGGCUGCCAUAAUAGCGACUUUGAUGGUGCGCCCCGCUGAAACUGAAGAGGAUGCUUUUGGGGGAAGAAAAACGUUAAACACUUCUCUGGAGGAAGUAUUUACCUCUCUCCGUGAAGCUCAAUAAACUUACAUGGUUACUUUAAGAGAUGUACCUGCCGAAUAAAAAAAAGGUUUCAAAGA